UGUGCAGCAUCAUCAAGAUUCACAUCUGUUAAUCACUGCCAAAUUCUGUUUAGUUAUUGAUCCUGAGCCUUCAACAUCUGCGUUGUCUCAGGAGGUGAAUGAAGGAAUGCAGGUGCGACAACAAGGCGUACGGUCUGGGAGAUAUGCCAAAGAAGUCUACAGGGACAAAGGAUGAGAAUCUUGAUGAUGCUGCAU
rnacentral:pre_miRNA from 1 species